UUGGAUAAAUGGUCCAUAAAAUCUGUCACCUGUGUUAAAAGUUUUUAAUUCUUCCAUGUUUCACCUCUUUCUAUUAUAUUUACUGCUUGAUGUUCUGCAGCAGCUGGGGUGUGUAUAAUGACGUUCUGCAGAGGCUGAGGUGUGUAUUAUGGUUUUCUGCAGAAGUUGAGGUGCGCAUCAUGAUGUUCUACAGCAGCUAAGGUCUGUAUUUAUGAUACACUGCAGCAGUUGAAGUGUGUGUUAUGAUGUUCUGCAGCAGCUGAGUGUGUAUUUGGAGGUUUCGCAGCAGCUCAAGUGUGUAUUAUGAUGUUUUGCAGAAACUAAAGUGUAUAUUAUGAUGAUCUACAGGAGCUGGUAUAUGCAUUAUGAUGUUCUACAGCAGCUGAGGUCUGUAUUAUGAUGUACUGCAGCAGUUGAGGUCUGUAUUAUGAUGUACUGCAGCAGCUGAGGUCUGUAUUAUGAUGUACUGCAACAGCUGAUGUCUGUAUUAUGAUGUGCUGUAGCAGCUGAGGUCUGUAUUAUGAUGUACUGCAGCAGCUGAUGUAUGUAUUAUGAUGUACUGCAGCAGCUGAGGUAUGUAUUAUGAUGUACUGCAGCAGCUGAGGUCUGUAUUAUGAUGUACUGCAACAGCUGAGGUCUGUAUUAUGAUGUACUGUAGCAUCUGAGGUCUGUAUUAUGAUGUACUGCAGCAGCUGAGGUCUGUAUUAUGAUGUACUGCAGCAGCUGAGGUCUGUAUUAUGAUGUACUGCAGCAGCUGAGGUCUGUAUUAUGAUGUCCUGCAGCAGCUGAUGUAUGUAUUAUGAUGUACUGUAGCAGCUGAGGUCUGAAUUAUGAUGUACUGCAGCAGCUGAUGUAUGUAUUAUGAGUUACUGCAGCAGCUGAGGUCUGUAUUAUGAUGUACUGCAGCAGCUGAGGUCUGUAUUAUGAUGUACUGCAGCAGCUGAGGUCUGUAUUAUGAUGUACUGCAGCAGCUGAGGUCUGUAUUAUGAUGUACUGCAGCAGCUGAGGUCUGUAUUAUGAUGUACUGUAGCAGCUGAGGUCUGUAUUAUGCUGUACUGCAGCAGCUGAGGUUUGUAUUAUGAUGUACUGCAACAGCUGAGGUUUGUAUUAUGAUGUACUGCAGCAGCUGAGGUCUGUGUUAUGAUGUUCUGCAGCAGCUGAUGUGUGUAAUAUGAUCUUAUGCAGAAACUGACAUGUGUACUUUAAUGCUCCGAGGCAGCUGAUGUGUAUAUUAUAACGAUGUACUGCAGCAGCUAAAGUGUAUUAUGAAAUUCUGCAGCAGCUGAGGUGUUUAUUAUGGUUUUCUGAAGCAGCUUAGGGGUGUACAUUGAUGCUCUGCCACAAUUGAGGUGUAUAUUAUGAUGUUCUGAAGCAGCUGGUGUGUAUUAUGAUGUUCUGCAGCAGCUGAAGUGUGUAUUAUGAUGUUCCGCAGCAGCUGAGAUAUGCACAACACGGACUUCCUUUGAAGGGGAUCUGUGAUGGGCUGGUUCUGCAGGCAGAGAUAAGCGGCGCCUGUUUCUUUUGUAACAUUAUUUCUGCAGAAUUUCUGCCAUGUACGUGACCGUAACUUUUUGUAAAAACCUUCUCGCUCCCCUAAAUCCCCGAUAUCUCUCUCAGCCCCUGGCCCGCGGCCUACCGCUAGGCGUCUCCGCCAUCCGUCUCAUUUGUAAUUGCUCCGCAUGCAAAUGACCCGAAAACCACAGACGCCUUGUAAUGUAAAUGCCAGAAUGCUACGCCGAAUAAUUGAUUCGUAGAAGGGUUUCAGUAAAGUGGAUUUUCCAUUUCAAGUCAGUGCGCAUCUUUCGGACGCAUCCGAUGGAGGCCUCUCUGGGGACCACUGUUUCCAUGGCAACCAAUCCAGACAGCUAUCUUUGCCUCCUGACAUUGGCUAGAAGUAUAAAAAAAUAAAAAAUUUAAAUUAAAAAUUAAAAAAUACAGACUAAUGCAGAAUAUCCCCGGCUGCUGCCUCCUUAUUGCUAGAGCUUUUAACGUAAGUGCCGCUAAAUUUCCCGAAUGCGGAGACGCGCAUAAAUAUUCAUGACUUUCGCAAAAUCCCCAAACCUGAUCGUAUACCGACAGACUAUGUAGAAGUGGUCUCCAGUAUUUUUCAAAGUGCUUCAACAAUAAAUUAGUUAAUUAAAUUAUCUUUUUUUAAAUGAACAGUCCUUCUCACUAAACGUGUUUCAGAGAUCUUCCCCUCCUUCGUCAGUGCUUCUCCUACUACUGAUGAGGGAGAAGACCUCCGAAACACGUUUAGUGAGAGGGACUGUUUAUUAAAAAGGCUCAUUAAACACUAUUUAAGGGGUUAUCCAGAAAUAAAAAAACAAAGCUGAUUUUUUCCCCAAAACAGCAUCACUCCUGUUCUCAGGUUGUGUGUGGUAUUGCAGCUCAGUUCCAUUGAAGUGAAUGACGAGACUUUGUAAUACCUCAUAGAACCUGAGGACAGGUGUGAUGCUGUUUUGGAAGAAAUUAUGACCAUCCAUUUGGAAACUACUCUUCUUUAAGAGGAUUCUGAAAGCAUCAAAUUCUUGACACAUCCAGGAUCCUGACAGGAAGUGAUCACUUGAUAUCUCUGUGGAAAUUUAUGGUUAUUCAUAGAGGAUAAAACUGAUGGAAAACCUAAUAUAUGAACUGAGGCCAUUAUUUUAUUUUAUUUUAACACUUCUUUCUUUUAUGUAACUGAUCUAUUUGUAUUUAUAAAUAAAUUCUAGUUUACUAUGCCUCUAUACAGAAGUACCAUAAAUAGCAGCCUGGAGACUGAUGAAGUAGGACAAGACCUCCGAAACAUGUUUAGUCUUUGAUAGUUUAUCACUUGUUUUUUUUUGCUGGUUUAUGGUCUCUCUGUCACUCAACACAACUACUUUUGUACUUACUAAUAGAAAGUGAAAACUUUAGAAAUUUUGAACAAUGUUAUUUGAAAAUAUGGCUCAUCUUUACACGGUCUAGUAAGUUUAUGCUGUUUAUGAUGGUCCUUGACUGCCCCCCCCCCCCCCCUUGUGUCCUAGAGCAUUGUACGGAAGGAAAUCUUUUCAUUUAGCAUCUGAUAAUCCAGAAAACUAUCCUGUCUUUACAAUUGUCUCCUUCAAGUUGCUGUAAAAUAAUAUGGAAUCUUAAAAACUUAAAGCAGAUGACAGAGCGAAGUUUAGGAGACAUCUACAAUAAUAAACUAGGAGUAUGUUUACACUGUGUUUUCAGCCCAUGAGGGUCAUCUCUGGCCAAGGUGCACAAACUAAGAGUAGCUACCUACCGUAUUUUUCGCCCUAUAGGAUGCUCCGGCAUAUAAGACGCACCCAAUUUUAAAUUAGGAAAAUCUAGAAUACAAUGUAAAGUAUAGGUCACAGUGAUCUUCUACCAGCGGACCUCCAGAUGUUGCAAAACUACAACUCACAGCAUGCCCGUUGGCUGUCCGGGCAUGCCGGGAGUUGUAGUUUUGCAACAUCUAGAGGUCAGUAGGUUAAAGACCACUGCAUAGGAGGUAAUACUCACGUGUCCCCGCCGCUCCGGACCCAUCACAGCUCGUCACCGCUGCCUUGGAUGUCUCCCUCCAUCGCUGUCGCCGCAUCCCCAGGGUGUCCCCGUCGCUCCGGAACAUCUCUGCUGCCCAGUAUCCUCGCUCUCCGUCGCCGCCAUCACGUCGCUAUGCAGGAGAGCGCCGGCCAUGCAGGGAAUCCCGGCACGGAGCAGACACUGAGGAGGCAGGUAAGGUCCCUCCCGGUGCAGCCGGGUUAGUGUCACUUUCGCUUCAGAUGCGGCGGUCAGCUUUGAUUACCGCGUCUGAAGGGUUAAUACAGGGCAUCACCGCGAUCGGUGAUGUCUUGUAUUAGCCGCAGGGACCGCCGCGAUAGGGGUGUAUUCGCUGUAUAAGACGCACCAACUUUCCCCCCCCAGUUUUGGGGAAGAAAAAGUGCGUCUUAUACGGCAAAAAAUACAUUAGUUCCCACCUAUAUAGUGGUAGGGAAUCAUGGAAAGUUUAGUAUUUAUAUUGUUUACUGUCACUUCUUCUAAAUGCCCACAUGGCCUUGGUUUUUCUCAUUGAAAAACAAAAUCAAAAAUCCCCAAGUAGAAAAAUUCUUGAUCCUGCUCCUAUUGUCCUACAAGUAGUCAUGUGCUCCAUUGAGUUGUCAUUCAAUUUUCCAAGAGUCCUUUGCGGUCCUUCACAAGGCCGGGCCUACAUAAAGAUCUACACACAAUUUCCAUGUGGACUUCAAAAGGGAAACAUAGAGUAGAACAAGGAGCAUAAUAACCAACCCCCCAUGAUUCAGAGCCAUAUUAGAUCACUGGGAGGUUCUAUGAAGACCUAAAUUAGACCAAGUCGUUUCAGGUCCUUCAUAAGGCCGGGCCUACAUGAAGAUCUACAUGUGAUUUUCAAGUGGUCUUCAAAAGGAAAAAAUAAAGUAGAAAAAAUUAACAUAAUAACCACCACAUAAUUCAGAGCCAUAUAUGAUCACUGUGUCGUUCUAAGGAGACCGAAAUUGGACUGAGUAGAGCUAUAGGGGAAGCCAACAUCUUGUGGUGGUUAUAAAGAUCCUACAACACGUUCAUAUCAUUCAAAUGGGUGUCAUUUACCGAUGAUAGUGUAAUGACAGUCAUAUUGGUUGCACAAACUAACCCCUAGUAACAACCCUAAACCCCCCCCCCAAAAAAAAAAAUCCAAAAAAAUUGUCUCCGCCUCUUGAUCCAUUCUUCAUUCCCCAUUGUCAUAUUUGCCUCUUUCACUAUCCCUUAAUCCUGCCUGCCAUCCUUAGAAUCCUAAGCUCUCCCUAUGGCUCUCGGGCCUGAGCCCUCCCUCAUUCUAGUCAAGAAUUUCCAAAAAUAUUUUCAGAAAAAGUAUUAGAAAUUGUUUCAUUUCAUCUUGAAGGAACCUGAAGGAAAGCCAUGUCCCGCAGGAAAUCUGAGUCCAAUUGUUUUUCGAAAUAGUUUUUUUUGCGAAAAUAAAGAUAUAAAUGGUAAAAACUUGUUACACUCCACUUUCUGCUCCGUCAUCUCUUCGAGAAACAACAAUAUGGCUGCCACCAAAAAAAGGGAUGUGAAUGUUCUGCCGAGCUACAACAAAGUGCGAGUAGGUUCUCAGGAAAUUUUUUUUUUCUCUAGCAAAAGGGAAUAUCACCUGUUUUUCUUCCGGUAUGUUGUCUACGGUUUCUAUGCCGAAAAAAAAUGUGUAAAAAAAAAUUGAGAUGUUGGAGGAAGAAAUGUGGUCCCAUUCCUGGUCCUUUCCACUUGUUUUCCCAUUGGACCUUAUAAUAGGUACUGUAGUGGAGAAGAUCCUUUCAGGACUGCGUUAAGUAGCAUCGGUGCCUCGGCAGCUCCGAUCCAUCAGGAAAAGUUCACAGGUUAACCCAGUGCUCGGGUGGAAAAGAUGUAGCUUUAGCGCAAUAGCGGAUCGCUAAAGAAUGUUUCCACAUAAUUUCAACUGAAUGAGGUCCAACGCCGAGCGUGACCUACAAAACAAAAGAACACACUCUGCUCGGAGACUGCUCGAUUUAUUCCACCAAGAAUGUUACAGCUGUGGAUUAUCAUGCCUCAUUAAAGUCGCAUUGAAACAUCUAUGGAAAAAAAACCAGCUGGUGCGAUGGGAGAGGAAGGAAAUGAGAUGUCCUUAAUAGUUCCCAGUGAAGGACUUGAAAGAGGCAGCAGAGAUUGCUUAUCGAGGAAGCAUCGCGACUGGGUUCCCACCAGGAAAGGUCGAAAGGCGCUGGAGGAAAGGCCGAGAAACCGGUCACAGGGUGAAGACGUUCUCCUUCCGAAAAAAUUUGUCCCUGGAUAAAGCUUGGACAGCUGCAGCGAUGGAAAGACACGAAAAUGGGGGGAGGGAUAUUGAGUGUCCACAAUGUGUGUGUUUCUAUAGUGUACCGUUACUUGUUA